rnacentral:rRNA from 1 species
GAUGAACGCUGGCGGCAUGCCUAACACAUGCAAGUCGAACGGACGGAUGAGAAGCUUGUGGCGGUCGGGUUAGCGACGGGCGGGAGAGUGACACGUGGAUGGGCAACCUAUAUGACGAGGGUUACUACGACAAACCAGAGCUAAUAGCAGAGAAUAUUAUCAACCGCAGGAGGCAAACGUGAAUGACGGUCUUGCUGUUACGGAGAGAUGUUACCGCGCUGCAUUAGCUAGUUGGUAAGGUAAGGGCUUACCAAGGCAACGAUGCAUAGCCGACCUGAGGGGGUGAUCGGCCACACUGGAACUGAGACACGGUCCAGACUCCUACGGGAGGCAGCAGUAGGGAAUUUUGGGCAAUGGGCGCAAGCCUGAUGCAGCAAUGCCGCGUGGGUGAAGAAGGCCUUCGGGUCGUAAAGCUCUGUUAUUAGGGAAGAACAUCUGCGUAUCUAACUGAGGAAAUAUUGACGGUACCUAAUGAAUAAGCACCGGCUAACUACGUG